UUACGGAAGGCAGCAGUGAGGAAUAUUGGUCAAUGGGCGCAAGCCUGAACCAGCCAUCCCGCGUGCAGGAAGAAGGCGCUAUGCGUUGUAAACUGCUUUUCCAGGGGGCGAAUAGUCCCGACGUGUCGGGAUAUGACGGUACCCUGGGAAUAAGCAUCGGCUAACUCCGUGCCAGCAGCCGCGGUAAUACGGAGGAUGCGAGCGUUAUCCGGAUUUAUUGGGUUUAAAGGGUGCGUAGGCGGGAUAAUAAGUCAGUGGUGAAAACCUGCAGCUUAACUGUAGAACUGCCAUUGAUACUGUUAUUCUUGAGUGUGGUCAAGGUAGGCGGAAUGUGUAAUGUAGCGGUGAAAUGCUUAGAUAUUACACAGAACACCGAUUGCGAAGGCAGCUUACUGGACCAUUACUGACGCUGAUGCACGAAAGCGUGGGGAGCGAACAGGAUUAGAUACCCCGGUAGA
rnacentral:rRNA from 1 species